rfam:Oryza sativa Japonica Group DNA, chromosome 2, cultivar: Nipponbare, complete sequence.
UGACUUUUUUCUUAGUCAAACUUCUUUAAGUUUGACCAAAUUUAUAGAAAAGUAUGUUAACAUUUUCAAUACAAAACAAAUAUAUUAUCAAAAUAUAUUCGAUGCUAAAUUUAAUGAAACUAGUUUGGUGUUGUAAAUGUUGCUGUUUUUUCUUAUAAACUUGGUCAAACCUAAAGAAGUUUGACUAAGAAAAAAGUCGA